AUGGCGCCCCCGGAUGAUGUUGCAGGCACCUCUGGUGAGAAUGAGGGGAGUAAGAAGGCUAAGAAGAAGAAUAAGAAGAAAUACAAUCUAUGUGGCUUUAAGUCAAGGUUUAACUCAAAAAGGCUGGCUGAGAUUGGGAAGCAAGUAUCACCGGAAAAACAGAGAAUCAUAAGGGAGGGACCGUUUGGAGACUUGUUGGACAUCCGGUCUUUCAAGGUGCCCCAUGAGCUCAUUGAGUUUGUUGCGAUGAACACGAAUCACAUACUCUCUGAGUUCAAACACAAGAACAAAUCUAUCACCUUCAGCAAGCUUAUGGUGAAAAGGAUUUUCAACGUGCCAUCCGGUGAUAGACCCGUGAAGCUUCUAAAGAAGAGUGAUGAACAUGAUCUUCGCAGCAUCUACAAGGAGGGGAACAGGGCUCCAAUCGCCCAUGUUGUCAAGUUGCUCACUAGUUGCAGUGAGGAGGACGUGGUUAUGAUAAAUAGGACUUGGGCACUCCUUGCGUUGGCAACAGUUUUGUGCCCAGGCACGGGCAAUAUGGUGAAUCUCGAGUAUCUUGCUUCCCUGGAAGAUAUGUCUUUGGUGCAUGAAUUCGCUUGGGAUGAGCACUUGUUGGCACGAGCGAUGGAGGAGGUUGGAGUCUUUCAAGAGAAGAAGAGGAUGCAAGCAAAUACAGAAAAAGCAGCAGAGUUUCAGAUCGCUUCAUGCCUUCCCAUGUUAGCGAUCAUAUACAUGGAUCAUAUUGAUAUCCCGCCCGACCUCCCAAAUGAGCAUGCCAUUGAUUAUUCCGUGCCGAGGAUACGCUUUGUUUGCCAAAAGGAUUUUGAUUGGUUGGAUAAAGUUGACAAGAACAAGCUCACUCUUGUCCAACCUUUCUACGGGAAACACACCCAAAUCCGGAGUUUGUGCAACCCCCCCUAUGCAGCACAACUCAUGGGACAGGAAGUUGGUGCUGAAGCAGCCAGUGGGCAGGGAGUUGGUGCUGAAGCACCUAGUGGCCAAGGAACUAGUGGCCAAGGAAGCCAAAUUCAAGGUGCUGACAUUCAAGCAAAGGACUCUCAAUCAAACGAGGCUCAACAAAAUGUUGAUACUGAACCACACCUAUCAUCAUCGCUCAACUAUUGGCUGCAGCAAUCAUUCCCUAGCAUGCAAGAUCUAAGGGUACCAACUCAGUUUCAAAUGCUCUACGACAAGCACAAGGGUAUUUUUGCAGCAGAGGUGGAUGGUGUAGUAGGCAAGUUUGGACAGUGUUUAAAGGGAUUGCAGUGCAACCGGAUGGCCGCUCUCCUUCGUGAUGUUGGAGACGCCAUCACAGCUACCAAUGAGCCCAACUUUUCCUUUGAAGCACCUAUCAUGGACGAAUGUCGCGGAAAAGAGAAUGAUGCUAAAGCUGCAAAUGCCGACAUUGGUGCUCAAGCUCAAGCUCAAGGUACAACACCUAGCAUCAACAAGGAUGAAGUCACCGGAUUGAACCUAGAAGUUGCAACAGAGGCUGCGGAAACUCGUGAGCAACAAAGAGUGAGUUUCGAGAUGGAAGGCAACGCCUCACCUCACAGCCCCCACUCUUCUAUGAUGCACCCAGGAGUGCGACAGCCGGCAUUUGGGACGACGAGCCAUCUUGUGAGUUGUUCCCAAAGGGCUCCGAAGACUAUGAGAUGA
rnacentral:rRNA from 1 species